AAAUUUUAUCCUUGAAAGGCAACCGCCUAAGGACGAGUCGGCGGCGGAUUAGGGUGUUGGCAGUGUAAUGGACUACCAAGCCGAAGAUCCGUAGGGGCCUUGAAAGAGGCAGCCUCGAGAAGGGCACUGAGAUACUGGCCCUAGCCCCACGGGGUGCAGCAGGCGCGAAACUUUUACAAUGCACGAAAGUGUGAUAAAGGGACCCUAAGUGCUUAUCUUUUGAUAGGCUUUUGCUGAGAGCAAAAAUCUUAGCGAAUAAAUGGUGGGCAAGUCUGGUGCCAGCCGCCGCGGUAACACCAGCGCCAUUAGUGGGAACCAUAUAUUUGGCCUAAAGCGUCCGUAUCCGGUUUAACAAAUCUUUUGUGAAAUUGUUAGACUUAACCUAACAACGUGCAAAAGACACUAUUAAACUUGGAACUGGGAAGAGUUAGAAGUAUUUUUGGGGUAGUGGUAAAAUAUUAUAAUCCCAAAAGGACUACCUGUGGCGGAAGCGUCUAACUGGAACAGAUUCGACGGUGAGGGACGAAAGCCAGGGGAGCGAUCCGGAUUAGAUACCCGAGUAGUCCUGGCCCUAAACUCUGCGAGCUAGAUGUUGUAUAUUCUUCGUGAAUAUACAGUAUCGAAAUGAAGAUGUUUAGCUCGCCGCCUGGGGAAGUAUGGUCGCAAGACUGAAACCUUAAAGGAAUUGGGCGGGGGAGCACUUACAAGGGGUUGCGGCGUUGCGGUUUUAAUUUUAAUUCAACGCAGAGAAUCUCACCAGGAGCGACGGCAGAAUGAAAGUCAGGUUAAAGGCCUUACUUGACAAGCCGAGAGGUAGCGCAUGGCCGUCGUCAGCUCGUGCUGUGAAGUGUCCUGUCAAGUCAGGUAACGAGCGAGACCUGUACCUAUAAUUGCCAGCGAAUUUUAUGAUCGGGCACAUUAUAGGGACUGCCUUUGAAAAAAGGAGGAAGGUGCAGGCUACGGUAGGUCUGUAUGCUCCGAAUCUUCUGGGCUACACGCGCGCAACAAUGGUAAAGACAAUGGGUUACAACUCCGAAAGGAGAAGUUAAACCUCUAAACUUUACCUUAGUUCAGAUUGAGGAUUGUAAUCCAUCCUCAUGACGUUGGAAUCCCUAGUAAUCGGAUUUUAUCAUAGUCCGGUGAAUAUGUCCCUGCUCCUUGCACACACCGCCCGUCAAACCAACCGAGCCGGAUCUAGAUGAGAUUUGGCUUUUUAGCCAAUGCGAA
rnacentral:rRNA from 1 species